rnacentral:rRNA from 1 species
AACAGCCGCGGUAAUUCCAGCUCCAAUAGCGUAUAUUAAAGUUGCUGCAGUUAAAAAGCUCGUAGUUGAAUUUCGGGACCAUCAUGUCGGUCGUGCCUCGGUACGUACUGGUAUUGUUGGUUUCUCCCUUCUGACGAACCAUGAUGUCAUUUAUUUGGUGUUGUGGGGAAUCAGGACUGUUACUUUGAAAAAAUUAGAGUGUUUAAAGCAGGCUCACGCUUGAAUACAUUAGCAUGGAAUAAUGAAAUAGGACGUUUGAUUCUAUUUUGUUGGUUUCUAGGAUCGACGUAAUGAUUAAUAGGGAUAGUUGGGGGCAUUAGUAUUCAAUUGUCAGAGGUGAAAUUCUUGGAUUUAUUGAAGACUAACUACUGCGAAAGCAUUUGCCAAGGAUGUUUUCAUUAAUCAAGAACGAAAGUUAGGGGAUCGAAGACGAUCAGAUACCGUCGUAGUCUUAACCAUAAACUAUGCCGACUAGGGAUCGGAUGAUGUUAAUUUUUAAUGACUCAUUCGGCGCCUUAAC